AAACCUCAAUCCUUUAUAAUAUAAAGGCUUUGGACUUUGGAGUGUUGCUGGUCUUUUGAAAUCGGCUCCUCUUAAAUGUAUUAGCUUGGACCUUUUGCUAGAUAAGCUUUAGUAAUAUCUAUGCUUUGAAGCAAAAAUGCCAGCUUCAAAUUGAAAUCAUUUUUUA
rnacentral:misc_RNA from 1 species